rnacentral:sRNA from 1 species
AGCAGCCGCGGUAAUUCCAGCUCCAAUAGCGUAUAUUAAAGUUGUUGCAGUUAAAAAGCUCGUAGUUGAAUUUCGGGAUCAGUUCGCUGGUCGUGCCUUGGUAUGUACUGGUGUUACUGGUUCCUACCUUCUGACGAACCGUCAUGUCAUUAAUUUGGUGUGGCGGGGAAUCAGGACUGUUACUUUGAAAAAUUAGAGUGUUUAAAGCAGGCUCGCGCUUGAAUACAUUAGCAUGGAAUAAUGAAAUAGGACGUUCGAUCCUAUUUUGUUGGUUUCUAGGAUUGACGUAAUGAUUAAUAGGGAUAGUUGGGGGCAUUAGUAUUCAAUUGUCAGAGGUGAAAUUCUUGGAUUUAUUGAAGACUAACUACUGCGAAAGCAUUUGCCAAGGAUGUUUUCAUUAAUCAAGAACGAAAGUUAGGGGAUCGAAGACGAUCAGAUACCGUCGUAGUCUUAACCAUAAACUAUGCCGACUAGGGAUCGGAUGAUGUUAAUUUUUAAUGACUCA